GAAGGAAAGAUAGAAAUUGAGGGUGGCUCCUAGUUAUUUAUGUAGGCAACUGAGUGAUUAGUAGUGCUAUUUAUUGAAAUGGGGGAGGCUAUGGGAGGCACAAAUUGAAGAGUGGAAGGCAAUAAAUAAUUCUGUUUUGGCAUGUGAGGCUUGAGGUCUAGGUAGAGAUGUGUAAUCCACAGCAAGAUUUACAAGCAUGGAAUUCUGGAAGUGGUCAGGCUGGAAACAGACUCAGAAUUCAUCAAUCAGAAGAUAAUACUAAAAGAUAUAAUCCAUGUUCUAUAAAAUAAAGUCUAUUAAAAAUGUAGCUCUGGAUGAGACCACCUAGGGACAAGUUGCAGAUAAAGAAAAAGUUCUGAACAGAUCUGUGGGGACAUUCUAACCCCGAGAGAGGCAUAAAGCUUGAGUAGCCCACAAGGGAGACAAGAUGGCAAAUCUGAAAGAGGGGGAAACCUGGAAAGAGGGGUGCUGCAGUGUCCAAGAGAGAAGAGAGUUUCAAGAAGAGUAGUGACAGGCCAUUCUAAAUACUACAGAGAGUCUGAGUAGGUGAAGACAGAGAGAGUCAACCAGUUUCAUCUUUGUUCAAAGAGGAAGUGGCUACAGCUGACCCAGAGAGCAUCCUGUCCACUACACAGCCCCACCAGUUUGCGAGAAAGUCAAAUGAAAUACUUCAGUGAAGGCCCUUUGCAACCUGCAUGGUGGUCAUCACGGUGAGUAUACAAUGCACAAUCAGCAGUCAGGAAAUAUUAAAUAGAAGCCAUAUGGUAUAGUAAUUAAGAAUGUGAUCCAUAGA
rnacentral:lncRNA from 1 species